AACGAACGCUGGCGGCAUGCCUAACACAUGCAAGUCGAACGAGACCUUCGGGUCUAGUUGCGCACGGGUGCGUAACGCGUGGGAACCUGCCCUUAGGUUCGGAAUAACUCCCCGAAAGGGGUGCUAAUACCGGAUAAUGUCUUCGGACCAAAGAUUUAUCGCCUUUGGAUGGGCCCGCGUUGGAUUAGCUAGUUGGUAGGGUAAAAGCCUACCAAGGCGACGAUCCAUAGCUGGUCUGAGAGGAUGAUCAGCCACACUGGGACUGAGACACGGCCCAGACUCCUACGGGAGGAAGCAGUGGGGAAUAUUGGACAAUGGGCGAAAGCCUGAUCCAGCAAUGCCGCGUGAGUGAUGAAGGCCUUAGGGUUGUAAAGCUCUUUUACCCGGGAUGAUAAUGACAGUACCGGGAGAAUAAGCUCCGGCUAACUCCGUG
rnacentral:rRNA from 1 species